rnacentral:rRNA from 1 species
UGGGGAAUAUUGCACAAUGGGCGCAAGCCUGAUGCAGCCAUGCCGCGUGUAUGAAGAAGGCCUUCGGGUUGUAAAGUACUUUCAGAGGGGAGGAAGGCGAUGUGGUUAAUAACCGCGUCGAUUGACGUUACCCGCAGAAGAAGCACCGGCUAACUCCGUGCCAGCAGCCGCGGUAAUACGGAGGGUGCAAGCGUUAAUCGGAAUUACUGGGCGUAAAGCGCACGCAGGCGGUCUGUCAAGUCGGAUGUGAAAUCCCCGGGCUCAACCUGGGAACUGCAUCCGAAACUGGCAGGCUAGAGUCUUGUAGAGGGGGGUAGAAUUCCAGGUGUAGCGGUGAAAUGCGUAGAGAUCUGGAGGAAUACCGGUGGCGAAGGCGGCCCCCUGGACAAAGACUGACGCUCAGGUGCGAAAGCGUGGGGAGCAAACA